UAAUAGGAUUUUAUAAAAUCCAUUAAGUUGUUUCUUUAGAUUGCUG
rfam:Glossina brevipalpis unplaced genomic scaffold Scaffold33, whole genome shotgun sequence.